UACUUUUUUUUAAAAAAAAUCUUUUUAAGUCAUUCUUUAUGACUUUACAGGUUAAACAAGUCAUAAACCAACAGCUACCGGGAGUGGAAGUGUACGGGUACAAGCAGCUACCAUCUCAACCAAUUUUAAACUUAUUAAAUUUUAUAAAUGUUUUGCAAGUUUGUGCAAUUGUGGUUAUCCUUGUGGGCGACAGAAUAAAUUAUUUUAGGCCCCCACCCUCUUGGUUGUCCUCCUUGCAAAAAAAUAAACUGCUUUCAUGUCUAUGCAUUUGGACAAUUGGGAAUUUGAUUGUUUCGCAAUUACUUGCUACGGGUGCUUUUGAGAUCUCUAUUAAAGAUAAAAUGAUAUGGUCGAAGCUUGAAAAGGGUAGGCUUCCUGCUACUCCCGAAGAGCUAAUCUCAUUAAU